GAAAAUUGAAGGAAGAUUGGGAUCACACGUAAAGGUGGAAAUUAUUGGAUGGAAGGUAAUGAAUCCUUCCACAAAACCUUCACUUACUCUAAUUGAAGCUACAACAUUGGGAGAAGUCGACAAAGGAAUUAGGGAGCUGAAAAAUGAUCCUCUUGUAGAAUUGCUUUCACCAAAAUGGAUUUUCACUUCUGCAUAUACAACCAAGUGAAAUCUUUUUGUUAGAGGAGGCUGGUGUAUUGGCGUGCAAGGUUGCCUGUUUGAAUGAGUAGAAUUGGCAGCUAGUGGCUUUCUCCAGACAGCUCUUGAUUUUGUUUGGACUGUCCAUAGAUUUCCUUCCUCUUCCAAUUUCCUAUCUUGAAUAAUUGCAGGAGCAUCUACUUUGAGAGCAAUAGAGGCAAUUGUUACUUAACCUGAAAUCAAACAUUGCAGUAAAUCUUCUAAACCAUAUCAAGAGUCUACCAAGGAGAAGCGUCGUUCACAAAUAGCUCAAGGUUCCAUUUUAUCAUUCAAGAUUAUGAAUGUUUCCUUCUCAAAUUUUUAUUUUUGAUAAAUUUUUAUACUGUCAUCUCUUUGUCAGAUCUUGUUUGGUUUAUUAUGUCUAUUGAGCAUCAAGAAUAUAUAUUGUUGUUUAUAUUGCAUGUUUUUAUAGCUCUUGUAGACUUGAUGAAACUAAAAGUGUAAUAUUUGAAAACUAAAAAGAUCUGUAUGUUAUUAGUUAAUUCUAACAAGUAGUAUAUUGUAAGUGGCUACAAAACAUUGCUAUUUUGAGUUUCUUCUAGUGUUUCACUUUUGCCUAUCUCGGAAAUAUAUGAAUUAUACAUAGUUUUUAUUGGAACCACCAGAUGAUGUAUUGUGAAAGUUGGGACAUUGAAUUGAUUUUUCGCCAUAAUAAUUUUUAAACAAUCUUCCUACACAAAAUAUUUUUUCUUUUUAUGAUAUUGCAAAUAAACUUUUUUUUGUGCAAAACUAUUAUAGAUUUUAAUAUGGAUUGCUUGAACCCUGUGAGUAGGAUUGUACUGAGCAACAUUAUUUGAAAACAACAUAGUGUCCUCAGGCACAUUAUCAAUAAUUCAAGUUUUUCAUUGUUUAUAUUUUUGAAGGUGCAAGGCUUUGAAAUUGAAUAAGAUGUAGUCACCUGGUUGCUUAUAAUCUAAUACUUUUUGAUAGGCUGAUAUGUUCCAUUUAGAGAAUGUUUUCCAAAGUGGAACAUGGAAAGACAAUUAUGCUUAGAACAAAAUGGUGUUGCAUUCGCAUCAUUGUCAAUGAGUUAGUUUUCAUCUAGAGAAUAACCAUGCUUUCUAAUCUUUUUUUUUAACACAUGAGCUACACUAGAUAGUGAAUGGAGUCAUUGAAAUGGUAAAGAAAACUAUUUGGUAAUGACUGGAGUUUGGUUAUACAUGCAACUUAUAUUCAAUACACAAGCCUAUUGUAAUUUAUGCUAUUAUCAUGCUAAUCAUGCUUGCAUAUUCUUUGCUCUUUUGCAAAAAAUAAAUUUAAGGAUUUGCUAAACAUGCAUAUGUAUGCAGAUUUAUCCUUUUUCCAAUUGUUGUUUAGUUUUUUUUUUUGCAUCUUUGUGUAAUUUAUGUUUUUUACACAAAGUACACAAAGUUAUUGGCAGGCUACUAGUUUUAAUAUCAUAAUCUUUGUUUUUACUUUUCUUUCAUUGCCUUCAUCAUGGUUCUACUCAUCCUAAAAGGGUUUGAUGAUGUUUGAUAUAUAGAGUUGAGGAACCAUUUGAAACUUUUAAUUCUUUUUUUCUUGAGCCACAAAGGCUAGGCCAAACACUUGGAAUUCCUAAGAAUAGUGUAAGGACAAACACCGAAGCAGAAAUAUGUGCGUCUAAGUUGUGCAACCUUCUUCUAAAAGCUGUAUGGAAUGCUCCUGCAUUAGGUGGCUCAUCAUGCAUUAUAUAUCCAUAUUGUUUACAAUAAAAUCGUGGGAUGCUUAUGAGAAGAGGAUUACAUUAGUGACCUAGAUGCACUUAUUAUGCCUAAGAAUUCUGGAAUUCUUCCAAUGGUCCUAGUAGCCAUUAUUCUUGUUGGCCAGCAAGAGAUAUAACAACAAAUUCCAAGGAUUCACAAGAUGACCUCUUCUGGUCCAAGAUAUCAAGAGAUGAAUACAUGAGAUAUGCAUUCGAGGAGUGUUAUAUAUAUCAUAGUAUUAAAGUUAUUUUGAUGUUGGUACUUGGACAUCUGUUAA